CAACAGCUAAAGACACCAAAUCCUGCUCAAAGUCCCUCUCCUCUUCAAAACAGGUUGUCUCCCGGUGCGGAUUCCAGCUGGGAGAAAAUCAACGAGCGGGUGCGGAGCCUCCUCACCUCCACACAGGCCAAGCAGCGGCUCUCCGCGGGAGUUACUGAGAAUGAAAUUGAUGAUGUCCUUGAAAGAAGAUCUGUCUGUUUGAGGAAUUCGCAGUCUAAUGACUCAGGGAAUGAAGCUACUGCUAAGAAGCUAUUACCA